AUUCAAAUAGUUUAAUAAAGAUAACGGUUUGUGGUGCCGUGGAUGUAAAUAAUUUACUUUGAAUA
rnacentral:tRNA from 1 species